GGGAAUGUAGCUCAGCGGGAGAGCACAUGACUGAAGAUCAUGGUGUCGGGGGUUCGACUCCCCCCAUUCCCA
rfam:Candidatus Pacearchaeota archaeon CG1_02_30_18 cg1_0.2_scaffold_360_c, whole genome shotgun sequence.